CAAGUGGAAGCGGUGUCGCUCAACGGAUAAAAGGUACCCCGGGGAUAACAGGCUGAUCUUCCCCAAGAGUCCAUAUCGACGGGAUGGUUUGGCACCUCGAUGUCGGCUCGUCGCAUCCUGGGGCUGGAGUAGGUCCCAAGGGUUGGGCUGUUCGCCCAUUAAAGCGGCACGCGAGCUGGGUUUAGAACGUCGUGAGACAGUUCGGUCUCUAUCCGCCGCGCGCGUUAGAAACUUGAGGAAGGCUGUCCCUAGUACGAGAGGACCGGGACGGACGAACCUCUGGUGUGCCAGUUGUUCCGCCAGGAGCACGGCUGGUUGGCCACGUUCGGAAGGGAUAACCGCUGAAAGCAUCUAAGCGGGAAGCCUGUUCCAAGAUGAGGUUUCUUACCCCCUCGAGGGGGUAAGGCCCCCAACAGACCAUUGGGUUGAUAGGCCAGAACUGGAAGUCUGGUAACAGAUGUAGGUGACUGGUACUAAUAGGCCGAGGACUUACCAACAA
rnacentral:rRNA from 1 species